UACGGAAGGUGCAAGCGUUGUUCGGAAUGACUGGGCGUAAAGCGCACGUAGGCGGUCUCGCAAGUCGGAUGUGAAAUCCCCAGGCUCAACCUGGGAAUUGCAUCCGAAACUGCGAAACUUGAAUGCUUGAGAGGUUGGUGGAAUUCCAGGUGUAGGAGUGAAAUCCGUAGAUAUCUGGAGGAACAUCGGUGGCGAAGGCGACCAACUGGCAAUGCAUUGACGCUCAGGUGCGAAAGCGCGGGGAGCAAACAGG
rnacentral:rRNA from 1 species